rnacentral:misc_RNA from 1 species
AAAAACAAAAAAAAUCUUUUUCAUUUCAACUUGAACUUGCAGCUGACUGAAUCAUAGGUUGGGACAUUGAUAACAUCUCCGUAUGAUGCCAUUGUGAGAGGGGAAGAAAUCAGCUUUUGCGCAAUUUUAGUAAUAUCUUGCAAUGUAAUUGAAUCUACAAUCUUCAAGAAAUGCUCCAAAGGUUUCCUCUCGCCAUAUGUCAAAAUCUGUCUACCUAUAUCUUCUGAAGCAAUCAUUCUAGAUUCCAAAUUCAUCAAAAUAGCAGACCUUGUUGACUGUUUUGCACGAGCUAGCUGCACUGGGUCAACUGCACCCGGGGAAGCAACUGCAAUUAGCUCAUUAGCUGCUAAAUCUAUGGCUUUUGAUGCAAAAUCAGAACCAGUGGUAGCUUGGAUACCAAAUAUGCCAGUACGAUC